AUUGAACGCUGGCGGCAUGCCUUACACAUGCAAGUCGAACGGUAACAGGUCUUCGGAUGCUGACGAGUGGCGAACGGGUGAGUAAUACAUCGGAACGUGCCCGAGAGUGGGGGAUAACGAAGCGAAAGCUUUGCUAAUACCGCAUACGAUCUCAGGAUGAAAGCAGGGGACCGCAAGGCCUUGCGCUCACGGAGCGGCCGAUGGCAGAUUAGGUAGUUGGUGGGAUAAAAGCUUACCAAGCCGACGAUCUGUAGCUGGUCUGAGAGGGCGACCAGCCACACUGGGACUGAGACACGGCCCAGACUCCUACGGGAGGCAGCAGUGGGGAAUUUUGGACAAUGGGCGCAAGCCUGAUCCAGCCAUGCCGCGUGCAGGAUGAAGGCCUUCGGGUUGUAAACUGCUUUUGUACGGAACGAAAAGACUCCUUCUAAUAAAGGGGGUCCAUGACGGUACUGUAAGAAUAAGCACCGGCUAACUACGUGCCAGCCGCCGCCGUAAUAC
rnacentral:rRNA from 1 species